rnacentral:lncRNA from 1 species
UGUGAUGGCGUGGAUCGAUCAGAGCAAAGGGGGGAGAAGACAAACCCUAACUUCAUGAAAUUCUCAAGAAUUGAAAGAGAUUAGGAGCCCAAACUAAUGCAUGAACUCGAAACCUCAAUCAUCUAAGCUUGUACAACAAACGGAACGUGUCAAGGAGAGGUCAAGCAUAGGAGGAUAACGGGUCAAGAUAAGGCAAGAUGACAAAUACACUUAUUGGAGUACUCGAGGUAUGGGGUCGUUGGCUUCAUGAAGAAAUGGAGCUGGAUUUGGAUAAGAGUAUUUAAGAAAGCGCUUGGACAAUUCCACGACUACUUUAUAGAAUGCUCUACGAAAUUUUAUUAUAUAGUUUAAUGUUGAAUGGUAUGUUGAUAACUAAUGGUUUGGUUGUACGUGGUGUCCACAGGUAUCGCUUGGGUUUUCUCUACUUUUAUUGAAGUGAAGCGGACUUAGUUCGAGUUGAGAGCAAGGAUUGUACGGGCUAGAAUGGUCACAUAGUGUAACUCAUAUAGGUUUUGAAGUAUUAAUGUUAUAAAACGUUAUAAAUCCGUUUUAAUGAAUAUAUGGCAUUUCGCAUUUGAACUUUCAUGUGUUUGAUAUGUCUAUUAAAGAACGAAAUUUUUGGGCUCUUGUUUUCCGCUGCGUCGUAUUUUAAGUUAUUACGCGUUAGUCUUACAGGGAAUUGUUCUUAUUACGAACGGGUCAUGCCCGAAUUUUGUUAAAUAAUAGUAUGAUAAUAUUACAUUUUGGAAUGUGUAAUUUGGGCGUAACAAGUUGGUAUCAGAGCCCUGGUUUGAGAGAAUUAAGUACGAGAGUAUAAGUACUUGAACUCAAACCUGUGUGCUCUUGUGAUAAGGAACCCGUACAAUCCAUGACUCGAUCAAGAUCUAAAGGUAGAAAUGGAACGAAAAUGUGUAAGUAUGUAUUAGAUUAUGUAUUUGAAAGAAACUAAUAGUGUGUUAUGUGCAAGGUAAGCUUAAGAUCUUGAAGAGGAUGAUCCGUGAAUACAGAAUGGGAUGAACGCUAAGGCGGGCAAAGGUGCAAAUAGGCAAAUUAACCCCAGGAACGUGUCAAGGAGAGGUCAAGCAUAGGAGGAUAACGGGUCAAGAUAAGGCAAGAUGACAAAUACACUUAUUGGAGUACUCGAGGUAAGUGAAUUUCGAUUCACUUUUUAGUAGGUUUAAUAGAAUUUAAUACUUAUGUUUACGAAACAUCAUGAAAGAACAUGUAAUAAUCAGAAGUACAAAGCCAAUAAUGCCUCAUUAUUGAAGAAGGUUGUAUUUAAGCCGAAAGUAAAUUGGUGGGUUUAAACGGGUCGAAUUUUAUGUGCAUAUGUUGCGUAAUGAAAUGAAAUUCGUUAUGGUUAAGACCUUGGGUAAGAAUUUUAGUCAUUAUGUAAGGGGAACAUUUCCCGGACCAUUAGGUACAAGUUUUAUAUGAUUCGGUUGUCGGUCAAUGAAUGAACGGAUUGUUUCGUUUUAGUGUAGGAAAUUUUAUAAGUAUAUGUGUAUAGGAAUCCAAAGGCCACGUGGGUUGAAUCGUAGAUUGUCUAUACUAUGUAAAGUUUUGAAUGUGACAUUCCGGCAUAAACCUACAUGUAAAAGAAGCUUGUGUAUAUAUUCGUGAUUAAUUGAUUGUGCGAAGGAAGGAACAUUGGCAUGAAUGAAGGUACGCACAUAUAUAUAUAAGUGUAUAUAUAUAUAUAUAUGUAUGUAUGUAUGAUAAUAAGUACGUAGGUGUGAAUGUAUGUGUGAAUGAAUGUUCAAUGCUUAAGACAUAUGCAUGAACGUAUCAAAGGGUUCGAGUAUUUAUGGAUACUAAUGAUGUGCGUUGAGUUGGAAUGUAAUGUAGGUAUGGGGUCGUUGGCUUCAUGAAGAAAUGGAGCUGGAUUUGGAUAAGAGUAUUUAAGAAAGCGCUUGGACAAUUCCACGACUACUUUAUAGAAUGCUCUACGAAAUUUUAUUAUAUAGUUUAAUGUUGAAUGGUAUGUUGAUAACUAAUGGUUUGGUUGUACGUGGUGUCCACAGGUAUCGCUUGGGUUUUCUCUACUUUUAUUGAAGUGAAGCGGACUUAGUUCGAGUUGAGAGCAAGGAUUGUACGGGCUAGAAUGGUCACAUAGUGUAACUCAUAUAGGUUUUGAAGUAUUAAUGUUAUAAAACGUUAUAAAUCCGUUUUAAUGAAUAUAUGGCAUUUCGCAUUUGAACUUUCAUGUGUUUGAUAUGUCUAUUAAAGAACGAAAUUUUUGGGCUCU